rnacentral:miRNA from 1 species
UCAGUAACAAGGAUUCAUCUCUG